AUGGAGGGAAGCAGAUCCCCCCACCGUUUAGAAAGGCGUGAGUUCCGAACAAUCAACGCAUACGAUUCAGCAAUCAAAGAUGUUCAGGAGUGCGUCAUCUGGUCAGGACAACAGGGAUGGUGGGUCUUUGAACGACAUCGGCAAGGAUUAUGGGAGGCAGUUGAGUAUCGAGAGGUGGAAGAAAAAAACUCACUACAAAAUGAGAAGAAGAUCAAGGAUGGAUAUGCCGUCAAACACGCACAUGCCAUGCGGGCUGGAGUAAUUGGAGUCAAGAGUGAGAUACAAGUUCUUGGCAAACGUCCCAACCAGGAGCAUGAAGGAUCAUUGGCAACAAAAGCAUUGGUGUUCAAGGAUUCGGUGUACGAGCAAGGAAGCAAGUAUCGCGGUAGUCCACGGAUCGAUGAAAACAUAAGGCAAGGUCCUUUGAAAGGAUCACCUGUGGUGUUCAACAUGAGGGGUCCUUCCAAAGGAUCUCCGAUGGCAUUCAGAAUAGUCAGCGAAAUUACCAAUGCACGGAGGUUGUUGCCAAGAUUUUCUGGACAAGAGAGGCAUGGGAAAACAAAGGAUUUGGCGGAGGGGAUAACAGAUGAGGCAAAGAAAUAUCAUAAAGCAGCACAGUCUCUUGGUUGCACGAGUGCCGGAGAAACAGGGAGCAGCAUUGCACAAUGUGACAGUGGAGAGGCAGAGUCAUUUAUGGAUUUGACCGUGCCAUGCAGAAAUGAUGCUGCUGCAUGUGACAAACAACAGAGCAGCAGCAGCUCCGCUGUAAGUGGACCUGUGGCUGGCGAUGAAACUGAUGCCGUGAGAAGUGAAUGCGAUCAGAUGAAUGAAGACACGGUAGACAGAAUCACCAUGGCGCCGCCGACCAUUGUAGAGAAAGAAAUGGACGACAUAUAUGCGAGAAAGGUUGGCUUUGCUGCCAAGCGAUCAACGAGCAGAAGAUCGACAUAUGAUCAGCAACUUGACAAGCAGAGAACGAGCAGUUGCUUGAUCUGGACAAGCUGCCCAGUCCAAAUAACAGCCAAGAGGGAUGCAGAUAGGAGGAAAUGGUAUCUGAAGAACGUGCGCCUAGAGCACAACCACCAACUUCACCCAUCAGAUUGGAUGCUGAAGUUCAUGAGAUGCUAUAAGAAGAUGACACCUCAGGAGAAAUUCUUUAUACAAGUGCUACAGAAGGCGAGGUUAGAAUCGAGGAAGAGGCGGAGGCCGGGAUUCCACCAUGUGGAAGAGACAGAGAACAAUGUAGUGCGGAGCCUGUUCUGGACAGACUCCUUGUGCAAGAUGAAUUAUGAGCUAUAUGGAGAUUUCAUGUCUUUUGACAUGACAUUCUCUACGAAUAUAUAUGGCUUACCAUUUGCACCAAUUAUAGGUGUCGACAACCAUGGGUCGACCAUCCUGUUUGGACUAGGCCUUUUGAAGGAUGAGAAGAUAGGGUCAUUCAAGUGGCUCCUAAGCACGUUUGUCAAGGCCAUGGGAGGUAAAGAGCCGAAAUACAUAAUAACUUACCAGGACCAGGCGAUGAAGACUGCAAUAAAGGAAGCUCUUCCGAGAACGAGGCACAGGUUCUGUUGGUGGCAUAUUAGGAAGAACCUGAAGGAAAAUAACGUAGUAGUGUUUGCGCAGCACCCAGGGAUGUCUGAUGAUUUAUUUCGAAUCAUCAAAAACUCACUGGAUCAAGAUGAGUUUGAGCGUGCCUGGAAAGCAGCAAUUUCUGUGCACAAGGCGGAAGGCAACAGACACCUGAACACGCUAUGGGAACUGUGA
rnacentral:rRNA from 1 species